rnacentral:lncRNA from 1 species
CUCCCCCUCACCAGCCGCCGCAACCCCCCCUCUCCUCUCCAAUUCUUUCCGGCGAAGAGACAGCCGGACGGAAGCCGCCUCUCCUCUCUCUCUCUCUCUUCUCCCCUUCUUCCUCUUCCCGUUCUCUCCCUCUCUAUUCGCCCUUCUCUCCAGCCGGUGAAGCAAGCAGGAAGGCAACACCAACCAGCAGCUCCACCGGCGAGAUGCCAGGUGACAACAACAACCACCAGUCGCCGGCGAGAACCCCUGCGCCAGCCAGCAGCCCUGGCGGCCGUCCGUCUCUUCUCUUCUCCGGCGAAGACAACAACGCCGACACCAGCAGCAGCGACAACAGCUAGCCGCCGCCGACCGGUCUUUCCCUCUACACCUCUCUUGUUUUCUUCCCCCCUCUCUCCGCCUCCUCUGUUCCUCCUCAUUCUCCCUCCCCCGUCGUCUCUCUUCUCCCUCUUCUUCUCUUCCCCUAUCUUCUCCUCCCGUCUCUCCUCUUCCCCUUCCUCUUCUCCCUUCACUUCUUCUUUUGCAGGCAACGUCAGCUCCAGCGGAAUCUUAGGCUACUAACAGCAGCGGCUCGACGAGGCGAGCAGCCCUCUCUCCUAGCCACCAGUGAUAACCGACAUGCGAGCGCCGGCGCGGACAGCCAGCAGAUGGCGCUACUGAAUCGCCCUCUCUCUCCUUUUUCCAGCAAAGCAGUACCACUAGCAGUUUGACGCCAUCUUCACUUGUACGGGAGUUUAAAGCUUUGGCUCGUUCAAGACGAAUCUUUACAGAUCCGUCCCGGUUCGUUUCAAAAUUUAUCUUUUCGCUCUUUAAAUUUCAAAUAAUUCUUAAUCUGCAUAUGUUUAUGAGUUUAUGUUUUGAGUUUCUUAUGCUAUUACUUGUUUUAGUGAAAACAUCAUACUGUUUGGAUUGUUUUCCUACCAUAUGUUAAAGAUUUUUGGUCUUCAUUUGAAUUGAUUGUUAAUAUGUUUUUUAUUACUACAACAUUGUUAUUUUCCAUAGAUUGGAUGCGGUAAGAUUCAAAUAGGUUUUGAGAAUUUUUUUUAAUUCUGUACCUAUUUAAAUUCGCUAGUAUUUCAUUAUUUGGUCCAGCCUCAAUUUGCUCAAGUUCUAUGCCGAUUUAAUAUAACCAUUUUGAACCGUAAUUUGACCAUAAUGUGUAAAGUGAACUGCUGAAAAUGGUAAAAUAAAUAAGUACGGUAAAGUUGCGAUUUUGGCUCUUUCUUUUUAUUUUUACUUGCUUAAGUUUGACAAUAUAAUUCAAUAAUAUCAUUUGAUCUCUUGAAAUCAGAAUAAUAUUAUUUGACCCUCUUUUCUUAUAUUGUUUGUGUAGAUGUAUUCAUGGUAAUUUAAUAUUAGGUAAAUGUUUUACAACUAAUUAUUUUCUUGUCAUAUUUAGUUGCUCAUAUUUUGGUAAAAUAAAUUAAAUCUGAUUUUAACUUUCGUUAUUUAAGGAAAAUAAAUUUUACUCAAUAUUAAUUUAUUCUUACUUGUUUAUAUUGGUAUUGAAAUAUUAACAUAUUUUUCUGAUUAGGAUAUCCUUUAAAAUAAGGAAAAUUAUAUUAUAAUUGAUUCCUUUAAAUUUUAUUUCCCUUAUUUGUUCCCCCCUCCUCUACUAUAUAAAGAGACUCCUUUUAUUCAUUCAACACAUUCAUUCACUCUCAAUCACAAAACUCUCUCAUCAUUCUCCCUUCUCUCAUUUGCUCUCUUGCUACUUAACAAAACUCUCUCAUCAUUCUCCCUUCUCUCAUUUGCUCUCUUGCUACUUAACAAAACAUUAAUAUUCCGGUAAUUAUUCAAGGGUUCUUCUUUGUUAUCUUAUUACUUUGUUCGAGUAAAGGUUGAAUCAAUUCGUUUUGCUUAACGGGUUAGUAUUCUUAACAUUCACACUAUCUUUACAUUCACAAUUUGUGUAAGCUAUUGUUUUGUAUGUAGAAUUCGUCGUUAAACGAUUGCAUAUUGUCUCACCUUAACUAACAAGUGUGAUUACUUGUGUAGUUAUUUAAUUACUUUGACAGGUUUCAUAUUUGAAGUUCAAGUUGAAGAUUAACUGAAGAAGGAUUUAUUUAUUUGUUUGAAUGUAUAUAUAUAUCUAUAUAUUUUUAUUUUUUUUGCUAUUUUAUUUAUUCGAAUGUUGUAACAAUUGUAACCCUAAAGAUCAUAUAAUAAAUUUAUUUGGGGGUCGUCUAGGGGAGGGGGAUUUAUAUGCUU